UGGGGAAUUUUGGACAAUGGGCGCAAGCCUGAUCCAGCCAUACCGCGUGAGUGAAGAAGGCCUUCGGGUUGUAAAGCUCUUUCAGACGGAAAGAAACGGUUACGGCUAAUACCCGUGACUAAUGACGGUACCGUAAGAAGAAGCACCGGCUAACUACGUGCCAGCAGCCGCGGUAAUACGUAGGGUGCGAGCGUUAAUCGGAAUUACUGGGCGUAAAGCGUGCGCAGGCGGUUUGGUAAGACAGAUGUGAAAUCCCCGGGCUUAACCUGGGAACUGCAUUUGUGACUGCCAGACUAGAGUGUAGCAGAGGGGGGUAGAAUUCCACGUGUAGCAGUGAAAUGCGUAGAUAUGUGGAGGAAUACCGAUGGCGAAGGCAGCCCCCUGGGCUAACACUGACGCUCAUGCACGAAAGCGUGGGGAGCAAACAGGAUUAGAUACCCCGGUAGUCCCUGAGCGGGCUGGCAAGGCGCAU
rnacentral:rRNA from 1 species